UGCAAGUCGAACGCGAAAGUCCCGCAAGGGAUCAGUAGAGUGGCAAACGGGUGAGUAACACGUGGGUGACCUGCCUUCGAGUGGGGGAUAACGUCCCGAAAGGGACGCUAAUACCGCAUGACAUCCUGCUCUUGAACGAGUGGAGAUCAAAGCUGGGGAUCGCAAGACCUAGCGCUCAAAGAGGGGCCCGCGCCUGAUUAGCUAGUUGGUGGGGUAACGGCUCACCAAGGCGACGAUCAGUAUCCGGCCUGAGAGGGCGGACGGACACACUGGGACUGAGACACGGCCCAGACUCCUACGGGAGGCAGCAGUGGGGAAUUGUUCGCAAUGGGCGCAAGCCUGACGACGCAACGCCGCGUGGAGGAUGAAGACCUUCGGGUCGUAAACUCCUUUCGAUCGAGACGAACGGCCUCCGGGUGAACAGUCCGGAGGAGUGACGGUACCGAGAGAAGAAGCCCCGGCUAACUCCGUGCCAGCAGCCGCGGUAAUACGGGGGGGGCAAGCGUUGUUCGGAAUUACUGGGCGUAAAGGGCUCGUAGGCGGCCAACUAAGUCAGACGUGAAAUCCCUCGGCUUAACCGGGGAACUGCGUCUGAUACUGGAUGGCUAGAGGUUGGGAGAGGGAUGCGGAAUUCCAGGUGUAGCGGUGAAAUGCGUAGAUAUCUGGAGGAACACCGGUGGCGAAGGCGGCAUCCUGGACCAAUUCUGACGCUGAGGAGCGAAAGCCAGGGGAGCAAACGGGAUUAGAUACCCCGGUAGUCCUGGCCCUAAACGAUGAAUGCUUGGUGUGGCGGGUAUCGAUCCCUGCCGUGCCGAAGCUAACGCAUUAAGCAUUCCGCCUGGGGAGUACGGUCGCAAGGCUG
rnacentral:rRNA from 1 species